rnacentral:rRNA from 1 species
GGGCAAGUGGGGGGGGUGCUAUACAUGCAGUCGAGCGGAAUUUUAUUGGUGCUUGCACCUUUAAAAUUUUAGCGGCGGACGGGUGAGUAACACGUGGGUAACCUACCUUAUAGAUUGGGAUAACUCCGGGAAACCGGGGCUAAUACCGAAUAAUACUUUUUAACACAUGUUUUGAAGUUGAAAGACGGUCUUGCUGUCACUAUAAAAUGGACCCCCGGCGCAUUAUCUAGUUGGUGAGGUAACGGCUCACCCAGGGAACGAUGCGUAACCCACCUGAGAGGGUGAUCGGCCACACUGGGACUGAGACACGGCCCAAACUCCUACGGGAGGCAGCAGUAAGGAAUCUUCCCCAAUGGACAAAAGUCUGAUGGAACAACGCCCCGUGAGUGAAAAAAGAUUUCCGUUCCUAAAACUCUGUUGCAAGGGAAAAAAAAGUAACGUAAUAACUGGCGCUACCUUGACGGUACCUUGUUAGAAAGCCACGGCUAAAUACGUGCCAGCAGCCGCGGUAAUACGUAAGUGGGAAGCGUUGUCCGGAAAUAUUGGGCGUAAAGCGCGCGCACGUGGUUCCUUAAAUCUGAAGUGAAAACCCCCGGGCUCAACCCGGGGAGGGGCAUUGGAAACUGGGGGAACUUGAGUGCAGAAGAGGAUAGUGGGAAUUCCCAGUGUAACGGUGAAAUGCGUAGAGAUUUGGGAAGGAACACCAGUGUGCGAAAGCGACUGUCUGGGCUGUAACUGGACACUGGGGGCGCGGAAAGCGUGGGGAGCAAACACGGAUUAGAUACCCCUGGGUAAUCCACGCCCGUAAACGAUGAGAUGCUAAAUGGUGUGGGGGGGUUUCCCCGCCCCUCCAGUGGCUGGCAACCUAACAGCAUAUACAACUCCGCCCUCGGAGUAUCAGUCGCGAGACAUGAAACUCAAAGAAAUGGACGGGGGCGCCGCACAAACGUGGGAGCAAUGUGGUCUUAAUCGAGCAGACCGGAAGAACCUUACCCGGCUGAGAUCCGGGGACACUAUGGAUACAUAUGUGCCCUUCGAGGCAACGGGUGACAGAGGCCAUGGGUGUCUCACGUCGGUCAUGUAAGUAAGCUAUCCGCGACAGGCGAGCAUAUCUACUUGCCACGAU